AACAGAUGUGUCCUCAGCUCAGCUUUGCCAGGGUCACUGCUUUCUGAUCAGCUUUUCACACAGCCUGCACGGAGCCGAGACAAAAGGUGGACCCGGGCAAUGUCACUGCGCAGGUGGGAGGUUGUGGGGCAGUGCUCGGAACAUGCCACACGCCACAACUUUAUGACAUGUCAGAUGUUCUACAUUUGCGGAAUAGAGGCAUGGAAGAAGAGACCUACAGAGCUGCACUAGGCUGAUUCAUUCUCCAAAUGUCUGCAAUGGCCUGUGCUGGGCUGGGCCAAGCUAACGCUGGGAGCUGGAAACUGCACCUGUCUGCCCCCAGGGGCUGUGCCUUAGCAGGGAGCUGGGACUGGGAGGAGUCAGAGAGCAAAUCCAGUUGUGCUGCCAAGGAAGCUCCUAAUAUUUCUUUCUAGGUCCUUACCUUUCGCUUAAAAAGCAUUUUAAACACAGGCACCAUUACAGCUUACAAAAUGAUAACUUUAUUUAGAAGGUGAGGAAAUCCCAGACACAUGAGGGUCUUGUUCAGGGACAAGAGUGGACAAGAAAAGGAAUGAUGAGAGAGAAGUUUCUAUUUAUAUCUACAUCUCAAGAAAGACAGAGAGCACAGCUUUUCUCAGUCAGGUCUGUUUUGGUGUUCAAAAGGGAUGUGGCUACCUAACAUUACUCCACCCAGGUCCCAGAAGGAGGCAAAGAGAAGAUUCACAAGAACUGUACUCAUGGUAAUCAAAACCUCAGAACAGCCCAGAAGCCAAUCAAGAGAGGAAUGGAUAAAUGAUUUGGGAAUAUUCGUGCAAUGAAAUAUGUCAUGGAAACAAUGAAUGCAUUAUUAAUAUAUAUAAAACAUAAUUGAGUCUCACAGUCAUAAUAUUGAGUAAAGGAAGCAGAGAUGAACAUACACUGUAGAAUUCCAUUUACAUGAAGUCCAAGAAUAGGUAAAAGUUGGGAUAGGCAAUUUGGUACAACAGAUUAAGACAUUGCUUAGCAUACUUGCGACCCAUGCCAGAGUGCUGGUCCAAUUCCAGCUGCUUUCCUUCUGUUUCAACGCCCCCUGCUACUGUGCCUGGGAGGCAGCAGAUAAUGGUCAGAACUCUUGAGUCCCUAACACCCACAAGAGAAAUCUGGAUGGAGUUGCAGCCUUGUGACUUUGGCCUGGCCUAUCCCUGGUUGGUGUGACAAUUUAGGAAGUGAACCAAAAAGACAAGGGAGAACUCUGUCUCUUCCCAUCUCCCUUUCUGUUGCUGUAUCAAGUAAGUAAAUAAGUAGGGUUUUUGUUGCUGUCGUUGUUGUUCUUGAAACAAAUGUGUAAAAUUAAUCUAUAAAAAUAGAAGUCAGAAUAAUGGUUACCUUUGGGGUGGUAUUGAUGGA